rnacentral:rRNA from 1 species
AUUGAACGCUGGCGGCAGGCCUAACACAUGCAAGUCGAGCGGAUGAAGGGAGCUUGCUCCUGGAUUCAGCGGCGGACGGGUGAGUAAUGCCUAGGAAUCUGCCUGGUAGUGGGGGAUAACGUCCGGAAACGGGCGCUAAUACCGCAUACGUCCUGAGGGAGAAAGUGGGGGAUCUUCGGACCUCACGCUAUCAGAUGAGCCUAGGUCGGAUUAGCUAGUUGGUGGGGUAAGGGCCUACCAAGGCGACGAUCCGUAACUGGUCUGAGAGGAUGAUCAGUCACACUGGAACUGAGACACGGUCCAGACUCCUAAGGGAGGCAGCAGUGGGGAAUAUUGGACAAUGGGCGAAAGCCUGAUCCAGCCAUGCCGCGUGUGUGAAGAAGGUCUUCGGAUUGUAAAGCACUUUAAGUUGGGAGGAAGGGCAGUAAGUUAAUACCUUGCUGUUUUGACGUUACCAACAGAAUAAGCACCGGCUAACUUCGUG